GGGACUGUAGCUUAAGGGUUAAGCGUUCCCCUCAUAAGGGAGGGAGUCCGAGUUCGAGUCUCGGCGGUCCCACAA
rnacentral:tRNA from 1 species